rnacentral:rRNA from 1 species
AUUGAACGCUGGCGGAAUGCUUUACACAUGCAAGUCGAACGGCAGCACGGGCUUCGGUCUGGUGGCGAGUGGCGAACGGGUGAGUAAUGUAUCGGAACGUGCCCAGUCGUGGGGGAUAACGUAGUGAAAAUUACGCUAAUACCGCAUACGAUCUAUGGAUGAAAGCGGGGGAUCGCAAGACCUCGCGCGAUUGGAGCGGCCGAUAUCAGAUUAGGUAGUUGGUGGGGUAAAGGCCCACCAAGCCAACGAUCUGUAGUUGGUCUGAGAGGACGACCAGCCACACUGGAACUGAGACACGGUCCAGACUCCUACGGAGGCAGCAGUGGGGAAUUUUGGACAAUGGGCGAAAGCCUGAUCCAGCCAUUCCGCGUGCAGGAUGAAGGCCCUCGGGUUGUAAACUGCUUUUGUACGGAACGAAAAGGCUCUGGUUAAUACCUGGGGCUCAUGACGGUACCGUAAGAAUAAGCACCGGCUAACUACGUGCCAGCAGCCGCCGUAA